UUGUAACAACUUUACUGAUAUGAAAUCAGCUCUCAUUCUUUCUCUCUCAAAUUCUUCGUGCUUCAUUUUCCUUAGUUCUUAAGUUUCUGCAGUUUUGUUAAUAGUUUCUUCUUCUCUCUGAAAUUACCCAAUUUCAUGGUGUUCUUCUUCGGUUUCUUUCCGGAACGUCGUUUCUCAAACGUGUUGGGAUUGAAUUGUAGGUUUUGUGGAACUUAAUUGGUGCCGAUAGUUUCGUUUCGAAAUUUUGUUAAACAUGAGUGUGGUGGGGUUUGAUGUUGGAAAUGAGAAUUGUGUAAUUGCGGUGGUGAAGCAACGGGGAGUUGAUGUUUUGUUGAAUGAUGAAUCGAAACGUGAAACCCCAGCUGUGGUUUGUUUUGGUGAGAAGCAGAGGUUUCUGGGGUCUGCUGGUGCUGCCUCUGCAAUGAUGAACCCGAAAUCUACGGUGUCUCAGGUGAAGAGACUGAUCGGUAGAAAAUUUACUGAGCCUGAUGUUCAACGUGACCUUCGAAUUUUGCCCUUUGAAACUUCUGAAGCUCCAGAUGGUGGCAUUUUGAUUCAUUUGAAGUACUUGGGCGCGACUCAUACAUUUACGCCAGUUCAAGUUACAGCAAUGCUUUUUGCACAUUUGAAAGAUCUAAUAGAGAAGAAUCAGGAAAUGCCCAUUUCAGAUGUGUGAUUGGAAUUCCAUCGUACUUUACAGACUUCCAAAGACGUGCAUAUUUGGAUGCUGCCACAGUUGCUGGGUUGAAGCCUUUGAGAUUGAUGCAUGACUGUACUGCAACUGCUCAUAGUUAUGGAGUUUACAAAACAGAUUUCUCAACUUCUGGUCCAACUUAUGUGGCAUUUAUUGACAUUGGUCACUGUGAUACACAGGUCUCUAUUGCGUCAUUUGAGGCUUGGCAAAUGAAGAUACUAUCUCAUACUUUUGACAGAAGCUUGGGAGGGAGAGACUUCGAUGAGGUCUUGUUUAAUCAUUUUGCCACACAGUUCAAGGAGCAGUACAGGAUUGAUGUGUACUCUAAUGUGAAGGCAAGUAUCAGGCUACGGGCAGCAUGUGAGAAGCUGAAGAAAGUGUUGAGUGCGAAUACGGAGGCACCUCUUAAUAUUGAGUGCUUAAUGGAUGAAAAAGAUGUCAGGGGAUUUAUUAAAAGGGAAGACUUUGAGAUGCUGGCUUCAGGUUUGUUGGAGAGAAUUGGUGUUCCUUGUAGCAAAGCUCUAUCUGAUGCAGGUUUGACUGCUGAUAAGAUUCAUUCUGUGGAGCUUGUCGGGUCAGGGUCUAGGAUUCCAGCGGUUGCUAGAAUAUUAGCUUCUGUGUUCAGGAAAGAACCUGGCCGGACGCUGAAUGCGAGUGAGUGUGUAGCACGUGGAUGCGCUCUUCAAUGUGCAAUGCUCAGUCCUGUUUUUCGAGUCAGAGAACAUGAGGUUCAAGACUCAAUUCCUUUCUCAAUAGCAUUCUUAAUCGAUGAAGCUCCAAUUUGCACAGGGACAAGUGGCAUCCUGUUUCCAAAAGGCCAACCCAUUCCAAGUGUUAAAGAACUGAUGUUUCGACGAAGCAGUUUAUUUCAUUUGAAAGCAUUCUAUGCUAAUCCCAGCGAAGUGCCUGCUGGCACUUCUCCUGACAUUUGUUGUUUUACUAUUGGCCCUUUCCAAUGCUCCCAUGGCGAAAAAACAAGGGUUAAAGUUAAAGUUAUGUUAGAUCUCCACGGUGUUGUCUCUGUUGAAUCAGCUAUGGUGAUGGAAGAUCACGGAGAUGACUCUUCUACAGGGGGUCUUGCCGGUUCAAAAAUGGAACCAAUGGACACUGAUUAUGUAACUGCUUCUGGUUCUACUGAGGCAGUUGCAGAUGGAUUUGAAGAAAGCAGUAUGCAGCACAACUCUUCACAUACUGGUGGUGAGGCUAAAAGAAACAAAAAAGCCACCAGGACGCUAGAGAUACCUGUUAGUGAAAGUAUAUAUGGUGGAAUGACCAAGGCUGAACUUUCAGAAGCUCAAGAAAAAGAACUCCAGUUAGCUCAACAGGACAAAAUUAUGGAACAAACCAAAGACAAAAAGAAUGCGUUGGAGUCUUACGUCUAUGAGAUGCAAAAUAAGCUUCUCAACACAUAUCGAAGCUUUGCAAGUUAUCAAGAGAUGGAGGGCAUCUCCAGGAGCCUGCAGCAGACAGAGGAAUGGCUUUAUGAUGAUGGAGAAGAUGAAACAGAAAAUGCUUAUACUUCAAGGCUGGAAGAUCUUCAGAAGCUGGUAAAUCCAAUUGAGAACCGAUAUAAAGACAAGGAAGCAAGAUUGCAAGCUACAAGAGAUCUAUUAAAGUGCAUUGGGGAUUACCGGAUGGCUGCGAAUUCAGUUUUUAAUGAGUGCUAUAAAGUGGAGCGGUGGCUUAGGGAGAAAAACCAACAACAAGACUCGUUGCCAAAGAAUGUUGACCCAGUCUUAUGGUCAAAUGAUAUUAAGAGCAGGAAUGAGGAAUUGAAGUCGAGAUGCAACCAUGUAUUCAGAUCCAGGGCUCAAUGAUAUUGUCUUGAGCAAACUGAUGAGGUCUCAUGAAGUUAGUAAUACGGAGCAUAUAUUGCCCAAGCGCUUGCAGCAGUCAGUUGAACACUUUGUUGCUAACACAAUCCAUGAUUUUUGCUUGUCCUGAAUCCUGACCGUGUUUGCGAGUGCUUUUUGUUUUAGAGCAUCAAAUGUUGUAUAAGAGGUUUUCUUCAGGGACUGUUUUCCUUUUAUUUUUGUGGGUUUUAUUUUUGAGGGAAAGCAAGUAUUCCGAAAGCAAGAGCAGAAAUAUUGUUUGUCUCCCUUGUGCCCGAUGAAUUGCUUUGUUAUGUGCAUUUGUCAUGCAGCAAAUAAACUGCUUGUAACUUCAUGAUUGGAAGAUUUAGGAUGCUUGAAUAUAAGCCUAUUGUUAC